UUUAUUUUAGUCUAAUCUGCAUUUUAUCAUAGUCUAGCAUUUUGUUAACAUUUUUAUCCAUAGUGUUUUCUUUGUAGCUAGACAAAAGUUACAUAUUGCAGAUGAGGUAUAUUAUUGCGGUAAAUGUCAGAGGCCCGAGACACAGACUGCCUGUUUAAUCCUAGGUUUACCCUGUGUUGAGUUGAGUGAUGGCCCUCAAAAGACAGAAGGUCGUAAUCUCUGGAAACCAGUGAGUUACCUUAUAAAGUUUUCACAGAGGUGAUUAAAUGAAGGCUGUUGAGAUGAGGGGAUUAUUCUGGAUUAUCCUAUCAGGUGCUUUUAUAGGCUGAAUUGCGUUCCCCCAGAUUCAUAUGGUAAAAUCCUAAUCUUCGUCCUUCAGAUUAUGACUGUAUUGGGACAGAAGGCCUUUAAGAAGAUAACUAAGUUUAAAUGAGGCUGUUGGGUUGGCACCUAACCUAAUAUAACUAGUGUCCUCAUAAGAAGAGAAGAUUAGCACACAUAAAGAGACACCAGGGAUGGGUUUAGGCAGAGGAAAGAUCUUGUGAGGAUACAGCAAGAAGACAGCCUUCUGCAAGCCAAGAAGAGAGGCCUCAGAAGAAACCAAACCUUUCCACAUCUUGAGCUUGGACUUCCAGCCUCCAGAACUGAGAAAAUAAAUGUCAGUUGUCUAAACUACCAAGUUUGGUAUUUUGUUAUGGCUACCUUAACAAACUAACGUAGGCCAUCAAGAGUGUCUUUAUAAGACAGACACAGAGAGAUUAGACACACACAUCUCAGAGAAGGUGCUAUGAAGAUAAAUGUAUUAGUCUGUUCUCAUGCUGCUAAUGAAGAGAUACUGGAGACUGGGCAAUUUAUAAAGAAAGAAGUUUAAUUGACUCACAGUUCAGCAUGGCUGAGGAGGCCUCAGAAAACUUUCAAUCAUGGCGGAAAGGAAAGCAAAUAUGUUCUUCUUCACAUGGUGGCAGAAAGGAGAAGAAGAAUGAGUGCCAAGCCAAGGGGGAAGCCCCUUAUAAAACCAUCAGGUCUUCUGAGAACUCACUCACUAUCGUGAGAACAGCAUGCGGAAACUGCCUCCAUGAUCUAAUUACCUCCCACCAGGUCCCUCCCAUGACAUCUGGGGAUUAUGGGAACUACAGUUCAAAAUGAGAUUUGGUUGGGGACACAGCCAAACCCUUUCAAUUAAGUAAUGAGAAAUUCAAAGAUGCUGGCCUUGAAGAUGAGAGUAAUGUGUCCACAAACCAAAAAAUACUAGCAACCAUCAAAAACUGGAAGAGGCAGGCAUCGGAAUCUCUCCUAGAGCCUCUGGAGACAGGGCGGCCCUGUCACCCCUUGAUUUUGGCACAGCGAUAGUGUUUUCAGACUCUGGGCCUCCAAUAAUUAAAGAAAAUAAAUUUCUGUUUUUGUAAUCCACCAAGUUUGUGUUACUUUAUUACAGCAGCUACAAGUAAUUAAUAUAGACUCCUUACUAGGUGUAAUCUGGGGCAAUUAUAUUAAUCUCUCCAAGCCUCAGUUUUUUCAUCCGUAAAGUGUUUCCUUAUCUCACAGCAUUAUCUAAAGACUUAAUGUUUGCAGAAUCCUUAGAAUAUGUUUGGCACAUCCUGAACAUUCAAUAAAAGUUACUUUAUUCUUUAUUUUGAAGAAGAUCAAUGACUUCUGCAUAUACUUUAAUACUGCGUAAGAUAUCUUUGCAUUACAUACUUUAUGAUUAGAAUUUCAAUUUAACAAUUAUUUAUUGUGGGCCAGGUGCAGUGGUUCAUGUCUGUAAUCCCAACAUUUUAGGAGGCCAAGAUGGGCAGAUCACUGAAGGUUGGGGGUUCAAGACCAGCCUGGCCAACAUGUGAAACCCCAUCUCUACUAAAAAUACAAAAAAGUUAGCUGGGCAUGGUGGCAGGUGCCUGUAAUUUCAGCUACUCAGGAGGCUGAGGCAGGAGAACUGCUUGAACCUGGGAGGCGGAUGUUACAGUAUCAUGCCACUGCAUUCCAACCUGGGAGACAGAGAGAGAUUCCAUCUUGAAAAAAAGUUAUUAUUUAUUGUGCACCAUCUACUUAUCUACUUACAGACUAGUGCUAUAAUCUGAAUGUAUUUUCCAGCAUUUAUAUGUUAAAAUUUAAUUGCUAAUGUAAUAGUGUUAAGAGGUAGAGCCUGUAGGAAGUGAUAAAGUCAUGAGAGCAGAUCCUGAGAUGGGAUUAGGGCCUUCAUUAAAGGGCAUCAGAAAAUGGGUGCAUUCACUUUUGCUCUUCCACCAUGUGUGGACACAGCAACAAAGCACCACCUUGAAACAGAGAUAGCAGCCCUCACCAGAAACCAAAUCUGUUGGCACCUUGAUCUUGGACUUCUCAGCCUUCUUAACUGUGAGAAAUACAUUUCUACUGUUUAGAAAGUACCCGGUCUGUGGUAUUUUGUUAUAGCAGCAGGAAUAGACUAAAACAAUUAGGUUCCAAACAGAAUAAAAAAUGUUGACUGACCUCAAUGACUAUGUAACACUACAGUCAUUUUUAAUUUAUUCAGGGUGAAAGAAAAAAAAAACAGUUACUUUUUUUUUCAGGUUUCAGAACUUGAAUACUUAACUAUAUAAUAUGUGGUAUAUAUAGAUAUUUCUUUGUAAGAAUCAAUGAGUUGAGCAAAUGUGUGCCUUUGAAAUAUUUUCAUCUUGCUCAAAGUAAAACAAAUAUUCCUAUUUAGCCUUCCUUUAUUUGUGGCAAUUUUGCAAGAGGGAGGGAUAUGGAAGAUCAGGUUCUUUUAUGAAUGAUUUUGUAAUUUCCUGGUUAGUUGCCUGUGUCCACCAUUGAAGGUGAGUUGUGGAGAUUUAUGCUGAUCUAAGCCCAGUGUAGAUUCACUCUAGCAUUCAAUAUUCAUUGAAUACGUGAACAAUGCUCUCAAGUACCUCUGGGUGAGUGUGCAUGCUGCAACCUCUCAGACCCUGAUCAAAGAAUAGCCAGGGCAGAUGCGGUUGUCUCAAGAGGAUUUUAAUAAAAUCAUGCUUUCCUAUUUAUUGUUUGGUGGGACUUUAAUACGAUAUGCAAACUUCAAAAAUAAUAGCUGAAGAAAGUGAAGUAGAGGAUUCUAGUUCUGAUACAGAAACACUAUGCCCUGGCAUUCCUAAAGUUUAAAGUUAGUGACUAUCAGGAAAGCAAAUAUUUCAUGCAAGGGUAAGCCCUCUAAUUGCGUUUGUGUUGAAUGCUUGCCAGAUCCGCAUGUAGAGGGUUCCACAGGCGUAUUUCUGAUCUCACCUUCGCAUCGGAGGCCACUUCAAAAGUGCCUGUGGGUGGAAGGAAAGAGGAGGAAAGUCAAAAAAGCACAUGAGGAAAGACGAGAGGUAGAGGGAAUGAGGCAAGAAAAGGAACAAGUGAAACCCUCUUGGGAAGGGAAGCUGUGUUUCAUUUUAGUUGCUUCGUUUGGACGGAAGCCUAUAAGAGAUUGAAUAACAUAAGAAAACAUACUGCCGCCCUCUCUUCUCAUUCUCUCUGAAUGUAUGUAGAAUUGCACUAGUGAAACCAAGAAUGAAAACUCUCGGGAAAGCGUAUUCUUU
rnacentral:lncRNA from 1 species